rnacentral:ncRNA from 1 species
GGAGCUGUAAUGAGGGUUGUAAUUGAGAAAAACAAAGCCGCGAGCCUGAUCAAUGCAAUGAAACAGCGGGUUCCAAUCGAACAUUGCAAGCAAUGUACUAGGGAGCGAAUUGGCCACAAACAUCUUGCCUGAAGCGAUCAUGUUCGCACGUG